ACCAGGCUGUAGGUCCAGCAUGUUCCAAAAGCUGUAGUUCACACCUGGUCUAGGCCAACAGUAUGAUUUCUCUGAGUAAGAGUAAAGGGAUAUAGGAAUGCUGUGAAGUUAAGCACAAAAUGUCAUAAACAUGGACAUUUCCCCAAGGAAGACGACUUUCAUCAGGCUUUCAAAGAUUCUGGAACCCCUGGGAAAUUAAAAAACCACUAGCUCAACUCUUUCAGGAUACAGGGGAUGCAUAAAAUGGCAUGCUAGUAACACUGAGGUACAAAAGACAGCAAUAAAAUGAGAAAAUAUAUAACUUCUACAUAGAAACGAAAGACAACAGUAUUUGAGCAGUACCUCAAAGAGAUUUUUUCUUCCUGAAGAUCUGGUUAAAUUUCGAAAGGUAUAAAAGAAGCACGAAGAAUAUGCUUAACUUUUUCACUACACUCCUCCAUGGGCCCUCUACACUGAGUUUUUCUGUUUUUAACAUUUUACUUUAAGUAACUACAGACUGGCACACACACACAAAAAUAUCAGAAAUCUUGUGUACCUUUUACUCACCUUCCCCAAUGGUAGCAACUACACCUUAUUCUCUCAAAACUAGGAAAUCGACAUUGGUACAUUCUAUAGCUCCUUACAUUUCAAUUUUUACAUGCUUUUGUCUGUGUGGUUGUAUGUAUAGUUCUAUGCAAUUUUAUCACAGGUAUAGAUUUCUGUCCCCAUAAUUAGGAUACAGAACUGCCCCACUUCUUCAGAGGCACUGCUCUGUGCUGUCUUCAUAGUCACACCCAGUCCACGUUCCACCCCCAUCAGUAACCCCAUCAAUCACUAAUUUGUUCUCCCUCUCUACAGUUUUGUCAUUAUGAAAAUGUUGUAAAUGGAAUCACUCAAUAUGCAGCCUUUUGAGAUUGUGGUCAUGUUGUUGGUUUUGUUUUCUGAUUUUUACUCAGCAUAAUGCCCUUGCCAUCCAUCUAAGUUGUUACGUGUGCCAACAAGUCAUUCCUGUGUGGCUGAGUAAUACUCCAUAGUGCAGAUGUACCAGACUGUUUAUUCACUAUCUAUGGCCAGCUGGAUUGCUUCCAGUUUUUGGCUUCUGCAAAUAAAGCUGCAAUGAACAUUCA